rnacentral:lncRNA from 13 species
UCUUGAAUUCAGGACAGCAUUCUGUGCAUUCUCCCUGAUGGAGUGAGAAGAUGGAUCUGCUGGGAAAAGCAAUACCUCCCCACUUAGCAAAUUAAGAGCAAGAACCAUCUGUGUUUUCCAGAAGGUCCCAGCAAAUUCUAAGAAUAAGCCUGCUGCCAUGUGGGAUAUAUAGAAGGAGCCAUCUAUGAAGUCCAGGCCCUCACCAGAUACUGAAUCUGCUGAUGCCUUAAUUUUGGACUUCUCAGCCUCCAGAACUAAAUCCCGGAGUCCUAGAAGCCCAGGCUCUACAUCCUACAAGAGUUGGAAAUCACUCUUGCUGCUGAAUUUACUCUGCAACCUAGAUGCACCACACUUCUUCAAGCCUGAAGGACACAGGGGAUUCAGGCAGAAGACAAGAGAAAAGAAUACAUGCCCGGUGGCUUUGUGAUCCUCAAGACGUAAGAGCUGGAGACUGUCAUGGCUUGCUCGGAAGAACAAAUGAGGUAAUGUAUGCAAAGUACAAGGU